UACGUAGGGUGCAAGCGUUGUCCGGAAUUAUUGGGCGUAAAGAGCUCGUAGGCGGUCUGUCGCGUCUGCUGUGAAAAUCAGGGCUCAACCCUGGACCUGCAGUGGGUACGGGCAGACUAGAGUGCGGUAGGGGAGAUCGGAAUUCCUGGUGUAGCGGUGAAAUGCGCAGAUAUCAGGAGGAACACCGGUGGCGAAGGCGGCACUCUGGGCCGGUACUGACGCUGAGGAGCGAAAGCGUGGGGAGCGAACAGG
rnacentral:rRNA from 1 species